rnacentral:pre_miRNA from 1 species
GCUGAUUUCCUCAUCUUUGGUUAUUUAGCUUUCUGAUUGCCCGUACAAACAUCAUAAAGCUAUUUAACCAAAUUUGAGGACCCAGCU